rnacentral:rRNA from 1 species
UCCCUAUGGGGUGCAGCAGGCGAGAAAACUUUGCAAUGUGCGAAAGCACGACAAGGUUAAUCCGAGUGGUUUCUGCUAAAGGAACCUUUUGUCGGUCCUAGAAACACCCGAUGAAUAAGGGGUGGGCAAGUUCUGGUGUCAGCCGCCGCGGUAAAACCAGCACCUCAAGUGGUCAGGAUGAUUAUUGGGCCUAAAGCAUCCGUAGCCGGCUCUGUAAGUUUUCGGUUAAAUCUGUACGCUCAACGUGCAGGCUGCCGGGAAUACUGCAGAGCUAGGGAGUGGGAGAGGUAGACGGUACUCGGUAGGAAGGGGUAAAAUCCUUUGAUCUAUUGAUGACCACCUGUGGCGAAGGCGGUCUACCAGAACACGUCCGACGGUGAGGGGUGAAAGCUGGGGGAGCAAACCGGAUUAGAUACCCGGGUAGUCCCAGCUGUAAACUAUGCAAACUCAGUGAUGCAUUGGCUUGUGGCCAAUGCAGUGCUGCAGGGAAGCCGUUAAGUUUGCCGCCUGGGAAGUACGUACGCAAGUAUGAAACUUAAAGGAAUUGGCGGGGGAGCACCACAAGGGGUGAAGCUUGCGGUUUAAUUGGAUUCAACGCCGGAA